AAACUUUCAACAACGGAUCUCUUGGCUCUCGCAUCGAUGAAGAACGCAGCGAAAUGCGAUAAGUAAUGUGAAUUGCAGAAUUCAGUGAAUCAUCGAAUCUUUGAACGCACAUAGCGCCCUUUGGUAUUCCUUAGGGCAUACCUGUUCGAGCGUCA
rnacentral:rRNA from 1 species